GCAGCCGGCAGAAGCCAGCUCUCGGGCUGACAGGCAAAUGAACCAGAUCGUGGACGGGGCCUCUGGGUGGCAGCUCCGGCCUUUUGGUUGUUGGACAACUAUAGUCAGAACUGAAAUGGAACAGGGGCAGGAGAAAUAACACACUUUUACUCCACGCAACUGUUGCUUUCACAUGAUCUUCAGGAAUGUAACUGGGAUAAUUGUCCAAAUUGAAUCCCAUACCCUGUCAUGGUACUGAUUAUUAAGGUGACUAUAUGAAAGGAUCACUCCAAAAUAACAGGAAUCUUGAGGAACCCAUUAAUGUAAAGCUGCGGCCAGAGUUCCAUGAGGAGGCAGAAUGUUCUAGAUGAUCCCUGUCUCUUCUCCAUUGAGGAAGUCGUUUCUUGCCUCUCUGUAAGCUCAGUUAAUCAUACCAGAAUAGGAGUCCUGUCUUAACUGAGCAAUAUACACUAUGGAGAGAUCCUUCAAAACCCGUCGGGACGAAUAACAGAUGAAUUCAUAAAACUGUUCAUCUCUGUUAUCCUGAAUGGUCACUCAGACAACAUUUUACUCAACUAUAAAGGGGAACACUUAAAGUGCAUAUGAGAAGAGAAGAGAAUGACCACAGGAGAAAAUCAUCUCAGGCCACGAUUUCCUAACCAGAAUCUGUAAGAGAGAUUCCAAGAACUUGGGAGAAGCAUAUUGUGUGAUGUUCUAUAUUUAUGAGACCCAUAGCAAACUGUGAAGAGAUAACAGAAUGCUUUUUGCGUGAGCUGAAACAGUAGAUGAAAUCUUUCAUUAAAAUUACUCAUACUUUGGGUCCUAUUCUUAUUUAUAAAUAAAUAUUAUUGCAAAC
ensembl:processed_transcript